CUACACAAACCUCAUUCUUCCUGUAUUCCCAAGGGAUAUUUUCCCCUACAUUGACCUGUAGGUUGGAAUGGUCAUAAGUUGACUAGUUCCGCGGGACAGGAUUAGCAUCAUCCUUAUCCGACAAGCCAUCAUCUAUGGCACCAUUGCCAUCUUUUCCUUCCCUCUCUACCUGCUCAACUAACCCAGGGUGUCUUCCCCCCUCAUCAGCCUCACCAUUUGGCUCACGGGUUGUAUCUUCAUCCUCUACAUCUCCUUCUCCUACCCCAUCUUCAUUAUUUUCUUUAUUUUGCCCAUUAGUACUCUCCACACCUUCCUCGGCUCUAACUUCAGUACCUCCCACUUUUUCUUGCAUAUGACUGUUACACCCAAUCUUCCGAAACAUUUCAACAAAUAACAUCAGCGGUAAACCGCGCGUAGUACAACCAUUUACAUAGGCCCUCCAGUUCUAAGUUCCUUCAAGCGGUAUCAACUUCCAAAAGUUUAUGUCAGGCCGUAACCUCACUACAACCCUAACAGACAGCUUAAAUAGCUAGUUGUAUAUUGAAGCCCAAGUUCUCUCUCGCUCUUGGUAAUUCUUUGCAGAACGACUGAAAUUCAGACAAAUCUACCCCUUCUGGACCAUAUCUAACCUCCCCCGACCAUAGAACACUUGGAAAAAUAAACUUUUCAACAUACUUGUCAAUAUACACGAUACGAAGAGAUAUUAUUACUAUCAUGUACUUAAUUUAACUAACUCCAACAACAUCUACAUUUCAACAUACGUGUCAAUAUACACGAUACGAAGAGAUAUUAUUACUAUCAUGUACUUAAUUUAACUAACUCCAACAACAUCUACAUUUCAACAUACGAUGGAAACAUCUAACUCGAGCAUUGCCAAUAAUAACAAUUUUAACAAAUUCAUUUUAUUUUACCCGAUCAAUAUACACGACAUUAACAGAGACCAUUACUAAAUAUUACUAAAUUUAACUAACCCUAAACACCCCUACAUUCCGAAAACAUAUAUAAAGAUAUGCACGACAUGAACAAAAAUUAUAACUAAAUGUGAUACUUUCAACUAACCCCUAAAAGACUUACAUUCUAAAUACCUAUACAAAAUAUAACUCUUGCACUGCGAAUAAUAUUCAUCUUAAAUUUAUCUUAAUAAAUCAACAAACUAAUUUUACUACAACAUAAAUACCUAAGCUAAAUCCAUUAUACCGACUAACCUAUAUUUUUCUACGUCUAAUAUCAAUACCUAGAUUUCAUCUACUAAUUAACACUACACCAUUUGUAUAGCUACUACAUCAACUACUACAUCUACCAACUAUAAGUUAAUCUAAACUAGGAGAUUAAUAAUAAUACCUCAAGCAAAGCGAAGAUCCGAGCUUCAAUCUCCACUCUACUCCCCUCCCCUCCUUUCCUCCCUCCCUCCCUUCCUUUCUUCCUCUUCUCUCCCCAUCAUUCCCUCCCUUCCUCUUCUCUCCCCGACGUUCCCUCCCUUCCUCCUCUCUCCCGAGCGCUCCCUCAGCUCCC
rnacentral:lncRNA from 1 species